AGUGAACGCUGGCGGUAGGCCUAACACAUGCAAGUCGAACGGCAGCACAGUAAGAGCUUGCUCUUACGGGUGGCGAGUGGCGGACGGGUGAGGAAUACAUCGGAAUCUACUUUUUCGUGGGGGAUAACGUAGGGAAACUUACGCUAAUACCGCAUACGACCUACGGGUGAAAGCAGGGGAUCUUCGGACCUUGCGCGAUUGAAUGAGCCGAUGUCGGAUUAGCUAGUUGGCGGGGUAAAGGCCCACCAAGGCGACGAUCCGUAGCUGGUCUGAGGGGAUGAACAGCCACACUGGAACUGAGACACGGUCCAGACUCCUACGGGAGGCAGCAGUGGGGAAUAUUGGACAAUGGGCGCAAGCCUGAUCCAGCCAUACCGCGUGGGUGAAGAAGGCCUUCGGGUUGUAAAGCCCUUUUGUUGGGAAAGAAAAGCAGCAGGUUAAUACCCCGCUGUUCUGACGGUACCCAAAGAAUAAGCACCGGCUAACUUCGUG
rnacentral:rRNA from 1 species